CACGUGAGCAACCUGCCCCUGACUCUGGGAUAAGCGCUGGAAACGGCGUCUAAUACUGGAUAUGUCCCAUCACCGCAUGGUGUGUGGGUGGAAAGAUUUAUCGGUGAGGGAUUGGCCCGCGUUGGAUUAGGUAGUUGGUGGGGUAACGGCCUACCAAGCCGACGAUCCAUAGCUGGUUUGAGAGGAUGAUCAGCCACACUGGGACUGAGACACGGCCCAGACUCCUACGGGAGGCAGCAGUGGGGAAUCUUAGACAAUGGGGGAAACCCUGAUCUAGCCAUGCCGCGUGUGUGAUGAAGG
rnacentral:rRNA from 1 species